CCUACGGGGGGCUGCAGUGGGGAAUAUUGCACAAUGGGGGAAACCCUGAUGCAGCGACGCCGCGUGAGCGAAGAAGUAUUUCGGUAUGUAAAGCUCUAUCAGCAGGGAAGAAAAUGACGGUACCUGACUAAGAAGCACCGGCUAAAUACGUGCCAGCAGCCGCGGUAAUACGUAUGGUGCAAGCGUUAUCCGGAUUUACUGGGUGUAAAGGGAGCGUAGACGGAUGGGCAAGUCUGAUGUGAAAACCCGGGGCUCAACCCCGGGACUGCAUUGGAAACUGUUCAUCUAGAGUGCUGGAGAGGUAAGUGGAAUUCCUAGUGUAGCGGUGAAAUGCGUAGAUAUUAGGAGGAACACCAGUGGCGAAGGCGGCUUACUGGACAGUAACUGACGUUGAGGCUCGAAAGCGUGGGGAGCAAACAGGAUUAGAUACCCCGGUAGUC
rnacentral:rRNA from 1 species